rnacentral:rRNA from 1 species
GACGAACGCUGGCGGCGUGCCUAAUACAUGCAAGUAGAACAGUUGCGAACGGGUGAGUAACGCGUAGGUAACUGCCGCAUAGAGGGGGAUAACUAUUGGAAACGAUAGCUAAUACCGCAUACUGUGAGAAGGAACUGCGUUGUAUUAGCUAGUUGGUGAGGUAAAGGCUCACCAAGGCGACGAUACAUAGCCGACCUGAGUGGGUGAUCGGCCACACUGGGACUGAGACACGGCCCAGACUCCUACGGGAGGCAGCAGUAUGGAAUCUUCGGCAAUGGACGGAAUGCUGACCUAGCUACUCCGCUUGAGUGAAUAAGGUUUUCGGAUCGUAAAGCUCUGUUUUUAGAGAAGCGGUACCUAGCCAGAAAGGGACGGCUAACUACGUGCCAGCAGCCGCGGUAAUAC